CCCCAGACUCCUACGGGAGGCAGCAGUGGGGAAUAUUGCACAAUGGGGGAAACCCUGAUGCAGCGACGCCGCGUGAGUGAAGAAGUAUUUCGGUAUGUAAAGCUCUAUCAGCAGGGAAGAAAAUGACGGUACCUGACUAAGAAGCCCCGGCUAACUACGUGCCAGCAGCCGCGGUAAUACGUAGGGGGCAAGCGUUAUCCGGAUUUACUGGGUGUAAAGGGAGCGUAGGCGGCCAGACAAGUCAGAAGUGAAAGCCCAGGGCUCAACUCUGGGACUGCCCUUGGAACUGCAUGGCUGGAGUGCGGGAGGGGCAGGCGGAAUUCCUGGUGUAGCGGUGAAAUGCGUAGAUAUCAGGAGGAACACCGGCGGCGAAGGCGGCCUGCUGGACCGCGACUGACGUUGAGGCUCGAAAGCGUGGGGAGCGAACAGGAUUAGAUACCCGGGUACA
rnacentral:rRNA from 1 species